rnacentral:rRNA from 1 species
UGCGUAGGUGGGUAAGUAAGUCAGUGGUGAAAUCUCCGGGCUUAACCCGGAAACUGCCAUUGAUACUAUUUGUCUUGAAUACUUUGGAGGUAAGCGGAAUAUGUCAUGUAGCGGUGAAAUGCUUAGAUAUGACAUAGAACACCAAUUGCGAAGGCAGCUUACUACACAGUGAUUGACACUGAGGCACGAAAGCGUGGGGAUCAAACAGGAUUAGAUACCCUGGUAGUCCACGCCCUAAACGAUGGAUACUCGACAUUAGCGAUACACAGAUAGUGUCUGAGCGAAAGCAUUAAGUAUCCCACCUGGGAAGUACGAUCGCAAGAUUGAA